rnacentral:rRNA from 1 species
AGCAGCCGCGGUAAUUCCAGCUCCAAUAGCGUAUAUUAAAGUUGUUGCAGUUAAAAAGCUCGUAGUUGAAUUUCGGGAUUGACACAUCGGUCGUGCCUUAAGGGGUAUGAACUGGUGUAGUCAAUUUCUCACCUUCUGGAGAACCGCAAUGCCCUUAAUUGGGUGUCGCGGGGAACCAGGACCUUUACUUUGAAAAAAUUAGAGUGUUUAAAGCAGGCAUUUUGCUUGAAUACAUUAGCAUGGAAUAAUAAAAUUAGGACGGCAUGAUUCUAUUUUGUUGGUUUCUAGGAUCACCGUAAUGAUUAAUAGGGAUAGUUGGGGGCAUUAGUAUUCAAUUGUCAGAGGUGAAAUUCUUGGAUUUUAUUGAAGACUAACUACUGCGAAAGCAUUUUGCCAAGGAUGUUUUUCAUUAAUCAAGAACGAAAUGUUAGGGGAUCGAAGACGAUCAGAUACCGUCGUAGUCUUAACCAUAAACUAUGCCGACUAGGAAUCAGACGAUGUUAAUUUUUUUCAAUGACUC